rnacentral:rRNA from 1 species
UUUAAAUUGAGAGUUUGAUCCUGGCUCAGGACGAACGCUGGCGGCGUGCCUAACACAUGCAAGUCGAGCGAUGAAACUUCCUUCGGGAAGUGGAUUAGCGGCGGACGGGUGAGUAACACGUGGGUAACCUGCCUCAAAGAGGGGGAUAGCCUCCCGAAAGGGAGAUUAAUACCGCAUAACAUUAUUUUAUGGCAUCAUAAAAUAAUCAAAGGAGCAAUCCGCUUUGAGAUGGACCCGCGGCGCAUUAGCUAGUUGGUGAGGUAACGGCUCACCAAGGCAACGAUGCGUAGCCGACCUGAGAGGGUGAUCGGCCACAUUGGAACUGAGACACGGUCCAGACUCCUACGGGAGGCAGCAGUGGGGAAUAUUGCGCAAUGGGGGAAACCCUGACGCAGCAACGCCGCGUGAGUGAUGAAGGUUUUCGGAUCGUAAAACUCUGUCUUUAGGGACGAUAAUGACGGUACCUAAGGAGGAAGCCACGGCUAACUACGUGCCAGCAGCCGCGGUAAUACGUAGGUGGCAAGCGUUGUCCGGAUUUACUGGGCGUAAAGAGUAUGUAGG